AAGAUUUUAUGUUAUUUUCAAACCCUCACCCUUCAAAGGUGGUAAAAAAAGUGAAAUCCUUUUAAAUCUUA
rnacentral:tRNA from 1 species